rnacentral:rRNA from 1 species
UAAGGAAUAUUGGUCAAUGGACGGAAGUCUGAACCAGCCAUGCCGCGUGGAGGAUGAAGGCCCUCUGGGUUGUAAACUUCUUUUAUCAGGGAAGAAACCUAUUUUUUCUAAGAUAGUUGACGGUACCUGAGGAAUAAGCACCGGCUAACUCCGUGCCAGCAGCCGCGGUAAUACGGAGGGUGCAAGCGUUAUCCGGAUUCACUGGGUUUAAAGGGUGCGUAGGUGGGUAUGUAAGUCAGUGGUGAAAUCCCCGAGCUUAACUUGGGAACUGCCGUUGAUACUAUAUAUCUUGAAUGCCGUAGAGGUAAGCGGAAUAUGUCAUGUAGCGGUGAAAUGCUUAGAUAUGACAUAGAACACCAAUUGCGAAGGCAGCUUACUAUGCGGUUAUUGACACUGAGGCACGAAAGCGUGGGUAGCAAACA